rnacentral:rRNA from 1 species
CGCGUAAGGACAGUUUUGUAAGUCAGAUGUGAAAUUCCUGGGCUCAACCUGGGAACUGCAUUUGAUACUGCAUGGCUAGAGUAUGGAAGAGGGAAGUGGAAUUUCCGGUGUAGCGGUGAAAUGCGUAGAUAUCGGAAGGAACACCAGUGGCGAAAGCGACUUCCUGGUCCAAUACUGACGUUCAUGUGCGAAAGCGUGGGGAGCAAACAGGAUUAGAUACCCUGGUAGUCCACGCCAUAAACGAUGACAACUAGAUGUUGGGAGGGUCUGCCUCUCGGUGUCGCAGCUAACGCGUUAAGUUGUCCGCCUGGGGAGUACGGCCGCAAGGUUGAA